rnacentral:ncRNA from 1 species
GCGGUACCGGUUCACGUUCUGCUGGCUCUGCCAGCUAGGGCGACCCGGCGACC